rnacentral:rRNA from 1 species
GUCGAGCGGUAGAGAGGUGCUUGCACCUCUUGAGAGCGGCGGACGGGUGAGUAAAGCCUAGGAAUCUGCCUGGUAGUGGGGGAUAACGCUCGGAAACGGACGCUAAUACCGCAUACGUCCUACGGGAGAAAGCAGGGGACCUUCGGGCCUUGCGCUAUCAGAUGAGCCUAGGUCGGAUUAGCUAGUUGGUGAGGUAAUGGCUCACCAAGGCGACGAUCCGUAACUGGUCUGAGAGGAUGAUCAGUCACACUGGAACUGAGACACGGUCCAGACUCCUACGGGAGGCAGCAGUGGGGAAUAUUGGACAAUGGGCGAAAGCCUGAUCCAGCCAUGCCGCGUGUGUGAAGAAGGUCUUCGGAUUGUAAAGCACUUUAAGUUGGGAGGAAGGGCAUUAACCUAAUACGUUAGUGUUUUGACGUUACCGACAGAAUAAGCACCGGCUAACUCUGUGCCAGCAGCCGCGGUAAUACAGAGGGUGCAAGCGUUAAUCGGAAUUACUGGGCGUAAAGCGCGCGUAGGUGGUUCGUUAAGUUGGAUGUGAAAUCCCCGGGCUCAACCUGGGAACUGCAUUCAAAACUGUCGAGCUAGAGUAUGGUAGAGGGUGGUGGAAUUUCCUGUGUAGCGGUGAAAUGCGUAGAUAUAGGAAGGAACACCAGUGGCGAAGGCGACCACCUGGACUGAUACUGACACUGAGGUGCGAAAGCGUGGGGAGCAAACAGGAUUAGAUACCCUGGUAGUCCCACGCCGUAACGAUGUCAACUAGCCGUUGGGAGCCUUGAGCUCUUAGUGGCGCAGCUAACGCAUUAAGUUGAC